UUUAGGAUAUCUAGUCGGCAUGGAUGAGUUGGACCGAAGGGUCUGUUUCGGGCGGUACAACCCGAUUACUCUAACUGCACAUUGGGGUAGUCUGGUUAUCGGAGUGGCCAGAAUUUCUGCUUGCAUUUACCUUUUUAUGCUUCUGUUGCUAUCACAGGUUUGGUUUUGUCCAAGACAAGUACACUGCUUCAGCCUUUAACUUCCCUGCAGAGAACAAGCCACAGUAUAUUCAUGUCACUGGUACGGUUUUCCUUCAGUUGCCAUAUUCGAAACGCAAGUUCACGAGUGGCCAACAGAGACGGCGAAGGAACUCCACCAGCUCCAGCACCCAGAGCCUCUUCGGUGAGGAGAGAAUUGGCUACAACUGGGCCUAUAACACUAUGCUGACCAAAACGUGGCGCUCCAGUGCCACCGGCGAUGAGAAAUUCGCUGACCGGCUGCUCAAGGACUUCAGUGACUUCUGCUGCAACAAGGAGAACCGUCUGCUCAGCUUCUGGGAGAGCUGCCUGGAGAAAAUGCAUUCCAGUGCACCCUGAGAGAGAGAGAUCCGGAAUAUGGCAGCUGGGAAAGCUCAGGGAUCCUGGUCACAUUGUGGAUAUCCGGCCAGCACUACUUCCAUCUGUCCUUUACCCAUUGGAGUACAUUCAGUACCAUCACUGGGGGUGGGUUGUCAUUCUGCGAUGUGUUGCUGGUCUGCAGUGCUAGGCACUCUUAUUGUCUCCACACCUGAGCUUUUCCCUGACGAUUUCUGUAAUGUCCUGGUUGACCUUGUCAAUGCUUCAUGGUCGAACUGACUGUAGUUCCAGGUUUCAGCCUGAUUUCAGCUGGCCUGGCUAAAAAGGAUUAGCGAAUCUGAUCAGUCAGGCUGGGAACAAAUUCCUGGGACUCCUGGCAGUGACAGCUAUGAAAGUAAUUGUGGAGAAAUUCCGAGAGGAAGGAGCUGUGAUUCCUCCAUCAUCUGGUCAAAUCUCUCUGUGAACAAACUGCUCUCUCAAAAUGACCUUGCCUGCUCGCUAUGCUUCGGGCUUGUUUCCAAGCUUGGUUUCUUGAGCUCAUUAAAAUGACUGACCCCAGUGCCCACACUUUCUGAGGGAUGUGGCUGUGCAGUUGACUGUGCUGAGAGAUCGUAUCCAGAUAAUGACACACGAGGAUUUGUUGAGACUAUUGUGUGUGUGGAAUACUUUCCCUUUGCAAGAAAACUGAAGGAAUGGAAUGGCACAAAUCUUCAAGAAGGAGAAUGUUCCAAUGGAAAUAUUAACUUGGCCAAAUGUAGUCUUGUAUAAACUUGCCUGGGCUUAUUGUUGUAUGGCACGGUGCUGAUCAUGAGGACCAGACAGUGACUGCUUUCUGAACUGUGACCUGUCUCCAGUGUAUGAGCCCUACAGGCACUUGUACACACUGCCGGCCAGAUCACGAGCUGUUUCAUUCAUUGUGUCCUUUGAGCGUUUUGUUCAUAUUCCCCGUUGUUUAGUCCUUCCCCCUCCCCAUGAAGCACACCUAACGCUGGGGCAUACAUUCUCCACUAGUUUGGAAUUGCCUGCAGCAGGUAUAAGAAUCUAAUGAGGAUUCUGGCACUGGGGAGGAGAGGAAGAUCCAGAGACGAGGUUCAAUCGAAUCUCAAACACUUCGAUGAAAUAGACCCUAAAUAUGAGCACUGAAGUUUCAAUCUAUUUAUAUAAUUUGCACAAUGUUCAUCUACACUCCUCAGUUGUCAGGGUUAUGUGAACAGGUAGACAAAGCACAAAGUAUAUGCCAUCCUCCAUGGACUGUUUCCUGAGUGUAUUAACCCAGUCCCUCCCUGCACAGCGCCCCUUGAGUGUGGUAGACCCCAUCACUGCUGCGUGGGUCCAUAUUGGAGAUAUUACUCUGUGAAGACAAUGGAGUUGGUAAGUAGAUAAUGUCCAAGUAUCAGGGGCAAACUUGGGCUGAUAUUUAUUCUUCAUGGUUUCCGUAUCAAAUGUUGGAGUAUCUCAUUGCAAUUCCUGAACGGGGGGGGACUGCGGAAGGUUGUUUAAGAUAGUGUGCAAUCCUCUUCAUACCUCUUCUCUUGCCAGUGAUUGAGCUGUAACAACCAGAGCGCCCACUUGGUAUAUGACUGUGGCUGUUGGUCAGUAGGAUUUAGUCCAUUGCCUGUACUCGGACUGGUCCUGACCUUAUCAAUGUACUUGACUGAUGGAUCUAAAGAGAAGCAAACUCCAAGAACAUAUCCUGAGCUUGAUCUUCAAAAUUUUAUAUUUGCAAAUAAAAAAAAACAUUUUAAAAAA